GACGAACGCUGGCGGCACGCUUAACACAUGCAAGUCGAACGGAGAUAUUUUGAGUUUACUUAGGAUAUCUUAGUGGCGGACGGGUGAGUAACACGUGAGCAACCUACCUUAGAGAGAGGGAUAGCUUCUGGAAACGGAUGGUAAUACCUCAUAACAUAGCUGAACCGCAUGAUUUAGCUAUCAAAGAUUUAUCACUCUGAGAUGGGCUCGCGUCUGAUUAGAUAGUUGGUGAGGUAACGGCUCACCAAGUCGACGAUCAGUAGCCGGACUGAGAGGUUGAACGGCCACAUUGGGACUGAGACACGGCCCAGACUCCUACGGGAGGCAGCAGUGGGGAAUAUUGCACAAUGGGGGAAACCCUGAUGCAGCGAUGCCGCGUGGAGGAAGAAGGUUUUCGGAUUGUAAACUCCUGUCUUAAAGGACGAUAAUGACGGUACUUUAGGAGGAAGCUCCGGCUAACUACGUGCCAGCAGCCGCGGUAAUACGUAGGGAGCGAGCGUUGUCCGGAAUUACUGGGUGUAAAGGGAGCGUAGGCGGGAUCGCAAGUCAGAUGUGAAAUGCAUGGGCUUAACCCAUGAGCUGCAUUUGAAACUGCGGUUCUUGAGUGAAGUAGAGGUAAGCGGAAUUCCUGGUGUAGCGGUGAAAUGCGUAGAUAUCAGGAGGAACACCGGUGGCGAAGGCGGCUUACUGGGCUUUUACUGACGCUGAGGCUCGAAAGUGUGGGGAGCAAACA
rnacentral:rRNA from 1 species